CGCCUCUGGCGGGAGGCCGGCGGCGGGCGCGGUGCGGGGCGCUCCCGAGGCGCCGCGGGGCCCCGGCCCCGGCCCUCCGCUCGCUGGCCGUUUGCCGCACCCGGGGCCCGCUGACUCCUCGCUGCUCGGGGGUCACGGCCUUGGCCCGCCGGGCCCCCCGCCCGGCCCGCAUCUUCCCGGGUCUCUUUGGUUCCCCAGGACACCGCCACGGCCUGGCGACGUCAGGGCGCGCAGGGCACGUGUGUCAUGGAGGCUGCCGCGGAUGACGCCGGGCUCGGAGGCAGAGAUGUGGCUCUGUGACCUGAGUUUCUCCGAGCCAUCACGGGGCGGAUCCACUGAGGUUCACGUGCAGCCGGCAGUCCCACUCUUGGUGAAGCCAGAAGGACAACAAAAAUGAACAACAAAAAUUGACUUUCUCCUAGUAAACUGUGAACCGUCCCUUCUAAACAGCUACAGCAUGGCAGCUUGUGUUCACAAUUGGUUCUCAAGCUAAAAUAUUCUGAAGUAUCUUCAAAAAGGGUCCAAGACAGAUGGAAUUCUAUUCAGAAAAACAUAUGACUUUCAUGUCAUGCUACGUAUUUGGGGUUGUAUUGCAAAUGUUGUUUCUCAAAAGUUCCCUUUGGUGCUGAGAAUGCAUUCGAUUUUCUCAAAGAAACAAUAAUAUAAGUUGCGUUUCUACGUAAGGCUACAAAAAUACUUCUGUGCGUCUUGUACAGUCAGCUGGAGGUAAACGCUGUUUGCAGCUGCCCCACAGCCGGUAUGGCACCACAGCCCUACUUACCUGGGUUUCAGAAAAGGUAAAAGCUGGUGCCUGCUUCAUUGGAUGCAUUAUAAUUGGCCUAAAUGAGUCGUGGCAAUCUUAUCCUCCUUCCUCAAUGACUGGACUAGGGACGGGCAUGUAAUCCAGUUCUGGUCAGUGAUAUGGGAGGGGGCGUCCCAUCUGCACGAAACACAAAGCCUCCAGAAAAGAGAGGCUUUAUCCCCGCCCUCACUCCUUCUUUAAGAUGCUGAUGUGAUAAACUGGUACCCGACACGACAGCAGCCAUCUAUGACGAAGUGACAAGCAUGAGGAAAAGACCAGGAUGCUAAGGGACGGAGGAGAAGAAGGACGGACAUAGCUGAGUUGCUGAGUAACUGCCUGUCUCCAGACUGCUUGUUAAGUGAGCUGUAAAUAUCCUGUGCUAAUUGUCUUGCGGUUAUCACUUGCAGCUCAGCGCGUUGGGACUGAAACAAGUAGUUAGCAUUCUUCUAGGUGGAAAUUCAUUCCGAGCUCCGGAUACAAAUACCUGGAGCAUUUCAUUCAGUUCCAUAAGGUUUUGGUGUGUUCUAAUGAGCCAGACACCCUACAAACACAGUAGAUCACGAGGAUGGCUCAGAGACUUGUCUUUGCCUUCCAUGGUCUCACGAGGAGACAGACAUGAAACUGAUCCUAAAAUUCAUAUGGAAAUACAAGGGAUCCAGAAGCCAAAACGAUCUUGAGAAAGAAGAACAGAGUUGGCAGGACUUGCAUUCCUCCAUUCCAAGACUUACUACAGAGCUGUAGCAAUUAAGACUGUGUGGUGUUGGCGUAAGGAUAGACAGAUUGAUCGAUGGGAUAAAAUCAAAAGUCCGGAAAUAAACCUUUUCAUCCACGGUCAAUUGACUUUUUACAAAGGUGCCAAGACAAUUCAAUGGGGAAAGAACAGUCCUUGCUACAAAUUGUGCUAGGACAAUAGGAUAUCAACAUGCAAAAGAAUGAAGUUGGACCUCUCCCUCAUGCUAUAUAUAAAAAUUAACUCAAAAUGGAUCUGAUCUAAAUAAAUGUAAGAGCUAACAGGAUAAAAAUCCUGGAAGAAAACACAGGUACAAAUCUCUGUGACCUUGGAUUAGGCGAUGGUUUCUUAGAUAUACCCCAAAAGCACGAGCAACCAAAGGAAAAAAAAGAUAAAUUGGAGACCAGGUUAAUGGUCAUUUGUUAAAGCAGUAAGAAGAAACUAAUAUUGGUAUUUAGGAUGAGCACCUGUGAUAAAAAUUAUCAUAAUUUUUUAAAGUUUAUUGAUUUAUUUUGAGAGAGAUCACAAGCAGGUGAGGGGCAGAGAGAGGAGGAGAGAUAGAGAAUCCUAAGCAGGCUCCACGCCGUCAGCAUAAAGCCUGACGUGGGGCUCGAACUCACGAACUGUGAGAUCAUCAUGUGAGCCAAAAUCAAGAGUCAGACGCUUAACUGACCGAGCCCCAAGAAAGGUGGAGGUUAAUUUGAGGUAAGGGUGGGGACAAAUGGAGAAUAACCCACAUGAUGGGUAAAAGGUUUAUCAGGGUUUCUUCAGCUAGGUAUAAUAGAAACUCCAGUACAGGACCUUCGCCAAAAUUGUUACAAUUUUCCUUGUGACACUGGAAAACUAGAAGUAGGCAGUCCAGAAUUAGUGUGUUGGCUUAAUUGCCUCAACCCAAAUGGGCACAUGUCACUGCCGCUCACAUCUGGUCACAUGGCCUCAACCCAAGUGCAGGGAGGCUGGGAGACCUGUCUUCUCUUUCUCUGUUUCCCCAUCCCUUCUUUUUUACUGCCAACGCCCGCUUUCCAAAAUAGAAGCCAAAAACAAAACAAAACAAACAAAAACCCCGAGAUACUCCCCUUUCCUCCCCGCCUUGGACCUAGGGCGUGGAAUAUGGUCAUUCUUGACCAAUGGGACUAAGGAGAAGUCUAUGGAAGGUCUACUCAGAAAUGUUUUCUCCACAAUAAAAAUAGACACUGAGAGGAAACGUUCCUCUUUGGUCAAAUGUCGUUCUGUCCACACGCGGUGCUCAAAGUGAGGCAGCGGUCUUGGGGCCACGUGGGGACAGAUUAACAAAUGAACAUUACGAGUCAGGAAGAGAUGAUGGGGCAGAGACCAGUGAGCGGGGGAAGAGGGGACUGAGUGUACUCCCUCCUCCUUUCCUGGGAGAUGAGCCUCUGGAUCACCCUCCCGAUUAACAUGACAUGACAGUGAAGAACUGGCCAGGAGUAACCCGGAGGGGGACAUCUGGCCAGCAGGCCUUAAUGAACACCGGGCAGAGAGGAGAGAGGCAGGAGAGUUUCGGGUGGGGCAGAGGUGGAGGGACUGAAUCCUUCGGUGCAUAGAGUGUCCCUCAGGCUGUGGCUGGGUACCAGCUCUCCCGCAAAUCAGAUGGGAAAACGUGUACGCUCUCGGGUGGGAAACAAAGUUUCUAAUAGUUCCGGCACUGAGGAAGACAGCCAGCCACUGGGGGAUCCUUCUGGUCAGAGCUGAUUUGGUGCCAAGAAUGCUGGAUGUGGGGUCUGUGUAUGUCCAGCCAGGGCCGAGUUAGAUCAUCCACGAUGCAUUUAUAGCGGCUAGUGUCAUAAACAUGUCGCUUGGUGUGAUUUGGUAUUCAGUAUAUCUCUCGGGGAGAUCCUGGCGCUCCUCGUCGGCCAGGCUGCCAAGAGAAGGCAGUAGUUAGUAAAAACUCAACGCCCUCGUUCUCCAGUAGCCCCUGCUAUGCUGGCGAUUGCGUGAGUCUGUGAUGAAACCCUGCCCCCUUUUCUGGGUGCUUCAUUUAUUAAUGCAUGUUUAUUGCGGGGCCACUAUGUGCUAAGCCACAGGCUGGACGCUCGAGAUGCAAUAUUAAAGACUGCGAGCAAGGCCCUGCACGCAUGGAGCUUACGGAUUUUGGAGAGAGACGGACAUCAAACAAGCGAAACAAAGAUGAAUGUGUAUUACCUGCUGUGUUAGACGCUUGGAAGGAAAGGAUUUGGAGCUAGGCAAGAAUCUGACCUGGAUAGCAGAGUCAAGGCCGUUAAGCUGAGGUGAGAAGGAGCCCAGGAUGGAAGUCGGGGCACAGGCGGGGAGGAGAGCAGAGCAGGAGGCAGCCGGGGCCGUCGCUUGGUGUUUAGGAACUGCUUUGUUCCAAGGUGGGAAAUGAUCAGGAAUGUGUCAGGGUAGACUGUCCGAAGAGUCUCCUGCUAUAACACAACUCAAUCCUGUAUAUGCCAUAAUUUGUAUGACACUCCUGGGCUCGUGGGAAAUAAAGGAAAUGUCUACAGGAACGCAAAGGCGAGCCCAGGACUCAUGGGAGCUCUUGACACGUGGAAAACUGUCCACCGUGGUUGCAGGUGCAGUCGGGGGGGCGGCGGGGGCACAGGGCCUGAGCAUCCACAGCCCUGCUACACACAUUGUUCGGCUUAAGGCUAUCAAGGGCCCAUGAGACGCCAGGCUCUGUGAGCAACAUAGACAAGAUCGCUGCUGUCACAGGCGGAUGCCAGCCGACAGUCUUAUCAGGGAGAAAGACAACAAACAGGGAAUAGAUGAAUAAUUUCAGAUGGCGACAAUAUGAGGAAAUUCAAAGGCAGCAUAUCGUGGGAAGGAGUUACCUACCAGGUGGUGAGCAGUGUGGGUGGGUAACUUUAGCUGGGGUGGUCUGGGAAGCCCCUGCCGAAAAGCUGACAUUUCAGUUAAGAGCGGGAGUCCGCCAUGUGAAUUGGGGGGGAGGGGGGACGCGAGUGUAGAACUUUCCAGAUCUAGAGACUUCUCUUUUCCCAAGCGUCUGCCCUAAGUCUAGACACUGAUCCAAAAGCUUCUGAGAGAAAACAAAGCCCAGGACUGGGACGUGCCUGCCUUCACUGUCAAGACCUCCAGGCCGGGGUGCCCAAAGCACCCCAAGUAUGAGAGGGAAGCGUAUGUACAACCCCGAGCCCGUCUCACCUGGACGUGGACAGGAGAGGAAUCACCCGCCGUGCGGUUUGGCCAGAGAGCAGAGGGGCUGUUUGUCGUCAGAUAUACAGCACGAAGCCAGAGAAAGGCACACACACCGUGCAUGCUGCUCACCUGGGGUGGGACUGGGGCGCAGAGACAGCGAGAGAUUAUUAAAUCUGUGCUGUUUCAGUGAGGUGUUAAUUGUAUCAUUUCGGGAGAGAAAUGUAAUAAAUAUUAAUUUUUAAUUUGUACGGUGAAACAAUGAGUGCAAAUUCUCAAUCAAAACAUGCAAAUAAAUAUUUCCCAGGCUCUCGAGGCCGAAGGGUCUAAAUGGUCUAAAAAGGAUCAUUAGCCUUCGUGCCACGGCCACCUCCCUAUUUUUAUGGGGCAGAACUACAGCCAUCUUAGUAACCAGCAGCGGAUCGGUGAGACUUCUGCUCCUGGAGAGAUUUCCAGCUGGCAAAACGAACAGCUGGUAUUAGCCUGGGGACAUUUUGGGACACGCUUAAGCACAAUGUCUCAUGCCAUCUUCCAGGACGCCGCCUCCGUUUGCUUUUCUUUCGUUUUGUUAAUGUUGAAGAGGAUCUGUAAAUAAAGAAAUAAAAAGGGCCAGUAAAUUCAAAA